rnacentral:rRNA from 1 species
AUUGAACGCUGGCGGAAUGCUUUACACAUGCAAGUCGAACGGCAGCACGGGGGCAACCCUGGUGGCGAGUGGCGAACGGGUGAGUAAUACAUCGGAACGUGCCCAGUCGUGGGGGAUAACUGCGCGAAAGCGUAGCUAAUACCGCAUACGAUCUACGGAUGAAAGCGGGGGAUCGCAAGACCUCGCGCGAUUGGAGCGGCCGAUGGCAGAUUAGGUAGUUGGGGGGUAAAGGCUCACCAAGCCAACGAUCUGUAGCUGGUCUGAGAGGACGACCAGCCACACUGGGACUGAGACACGGCCCAGACUCCUACGGGAGGCAGCAGUGGGGAAUUGUUCGCAAUGGGCGCAAGCCUGACGACGCAACGCCGCGUGGAGGAUGAAGACCUCGGUCGUAAC